rnacentral:lncRNA from 1 species
CUUCUGUUAGUGGUGGAACAUGUUUGAUGAAAUAGUAUGGAUCGAAGACUUCCCAGUCUUCUUCAUAGGUGGCUUCUGCAUGAGCUGAUGAGUAGCCACUGUCUGGAGAUACUGGUGCUGUAAGUGGUGGCAGGUCACGAUCAUUUGUUUCUUCUACUUCUUCUAAACCAUUGUUGACAGUAGAUCUGACCUGCACUGCUUGGCUAGUGUAAGCUGCUCCAUUGGUUGAUGUUGCAGUACUCGUAGUAAUCUCAUCUACCUGCUCCAUAUCAAGCUGUUUGACUAUUUCUUCAGCCUCAACAGCUUGUCCUGGAGAAUCUGAUCCUGAUGUUCCAUUUUUAUUUGCUGGUGAAAAAAAAUUGAAGACGGGAGAAAAUAUGGUUCCCAGUAAGGUAGUUCGCGGGGGACUGCCUGUGGCAGGAUUAUCUUCCAAUUUCCCAUUUUGCUUUACGUGUUGGUUUGUCAUUUCAUAACUUCCAGCUUCUCCAUUCACUUGACCUUUCCGUCUUACUCGAGAGAUCUGUUUAUUAGGCUUUUCUCCUGUUUGAGGUGUGGAUGUGAUCAAGUUGUUAUCUAUAUCCCGUUCAAUUCUACUUCUUUUUGCAGGAUUUUCUCUUUCUUCCUUGGGUGUGCUGCCUUUAAUAAACUUUUUGAUUGAAGACAGUAGGCCCGUCUCAUUUUUCUGCGGCUUUCCCCCGCCGACAGGUAGGCUCUCCUCCACCUCCGAGUGUUUCCUCUUUGCCCUCUGAGCACGCUGCGCGUGAAUGGGAUUUGAUUGCUGAGAAGCCUUCCGCGUUCUCAGCCUCAUUUUCAUGUGUACCACAUGUAAAGCUGCGGCGCGGGGUGCCGGGCGGGCGGGCCCCGGUGGCCGAGUCCCCGGCGGGCGGACGGUGCGGGCCGGGCCGGGCCGGGCCGUGCGGGCGGCGCUGUGUUUACACCGCCGCCGGGGCUCGGCGCUCCGCGGCCGCUCAGCAGCCAGUCGCCAUUUCCCGCCUACCGACCUGCUACACCGCACGGAGGGACCCGGAUGGGGAGAGGGGCCGCCGCGCAGGCGCAGCCCGGCCGGGGGAGGGGGGCCCGGGCACGGCGGCGGCGGGGCAGGCCGGGAAGGAGGGAGCGGGGCCUCGCGCGGGGAGCGGCGCCCCGAGGCGGCGGGGCUGAGGGAACGGGCCGGGCCGGGCCGGGCCGCCACCUCCCGCUCCUCCUUCUCCUCCUCUUACCCGGGCCGGGAGCGGCAGGCAGCGCCUCGGGGCUGAGGGGGCCUCGCGAGGAGGAGGAGGAGGAGGGGAAGGAGGAGGAUGCGGCGGCGACCGCCUCUCGGGCCGAGUGCCGCCCCGCCGCGCCCUGAGGUGAGGUGAGGCGGGAAGGGGCGAGCGGUGCGCUGAGCCUCUCGUGUGAGAUGUUGAGGAUGCAGCAUCCUGACCGUCCCAGCCAGGACAGCAGGGGGGUGCUGGGGUUGCACGGGGGACUUACAGCCUGCCGAGCUGCCGGCCUCGCUUUUCCUUCUGUCUGUGAGUGCUUUCGUCCACCGCGCUUCAUGAACACAAAUCCUGGGUUCUCAGAUCCGUGCUGUACGACAUUAGGAGCUUCUCAAAGCGUCACUUGGGUACAUGUUCUCUAACGUACCCAUAGGCACAGACCCGCUCCGGGUGCUCUUUCUCUCUCUCUGGUACCCAUUGACACCCCUCACAGGUUUCAAACCCGGAGUGUGUCACAGAAGUCCCGGUUCCCUUGUCCCUCAUCUACUGGUUUGUCAAACAGAAUCACAUCGGCUGCUGCGGAGCCAAGAAUUGCUUUAUAGUUUUAUCACAGAACUUUUGCUCUCUUAGCAGAAGACAUUGUAGAACUGAUUUUACCUUCGUUUCUCAAGGAAGCAGGGAGUAAAGCGGCAGUGGAAGCACUGUAUUCGUUACUCAGAACAGGCCUUAUUCCUGUAGAGCAUUGCAGCACUCCUAAACACACACAUGAGUAAGCGUAGUACUUCAUACAAUCAGCUGUGGGAAAGGUUAGCUUGGGCCUGUUAGGACUUAAUUAAGGCUGUUUGUCAGUCCAUUAAGAGGAGCUAGUAUGGCAAGAUAACUGCGAUGUCUCGCAGUACAAGCCCAGAAGGGCGUUCAGUGGUGCUUAUAAAGGGGGAGUUUUGGAAAACAGUAGGUGGCUUUUCCAAGCUAUGUAAUUAUAAUGAAAGUAACUGCCAGGGGAAACCAUUCAGCAGGAUUCAGAGCAUGCAGAUAUUUAUAUGAACACAAAAACCUUCUACUGCAUUCGCAACGAAAGCCAAAAAAACAUUCUGAAGAUGCUGAAGCACAUGGCUUGGGAUUCAAAGGAGUCUGUAGGGAAUAAGGACUGUGCUUUUCUGUAUCCGCAGUGGUCUUGUGCCUGGUUCAGAGCAGGGGCAGAGGGUGCUGUUGGACCAGAAGGGUUGUGAGCUUUGUCACUCGUCGGGUGAGAAUAUAAAGUCAGAGUGCUCACUGACACUGCUGCGAAGGCAGAAGUUCAAAGGUCCCCCUGCUGUGAGUUGCUCCCCUCCUUAUAAAGCACAGUGUGGGGAGAGCCACGGAGAGUGUGCCACGGAGGAGCGCUAAGGAACACUGGGUGUGCACACAUGGGGCAUGAGAAGCUUGGAACGCACACGUGCUUCAGAAGAGGCUCUGUAUUGGCAACGGCAGGUUGUUCCCUUGACAGUCGAUUGCAGGGACUGCCAGACUGAGAUAUUCUAGGUGUGUGUUUUCUUCACAGGGAGGCUGGAGGACAAAAGCCCGUCGUUGCCAGCAGUGUUGCGCGCUGCUGAAACGUUACACUCUAUUAAUGCUCAUUUGAACGGCCGUUCUUCGUGACUUCCUUCCAACUCCUUUUUUGUUGUUCUCAACUCUUGCGGGCCUGCUGGCGGUGUGUUUACUGAGGACUCACUGAGAAGGACUUGUUCAGAGUCACUUCCUUGUUUGUCAUAGAGAUUCCGCGUGCGUGAGCCCACCUCUUGGUGAGCCGGUCCUACACCUGCCGUUAGGCGGCGUGUUCUGGUACAGGGCUGCCUUCCAUGGCUGUGAGCAGUAGUUGUUUAAACAAAGCAAUUCUUGUUUGGGUUAAAAUAUUUUAGAAUAAUCUAUUUCUAGUGUUUGUUAUUUCUCUUGCUUAUCUGGAGGGAAUACACUUUGUUCAGUAGGUGAACAACCACGGACUUGACUUACUUGAGAAGCAGCUCACAGGCUGUGCUUGCUCUGCGUGCCUAGACGUCUGUCAUCCAAUCUGUCUGUCCAGGAGCAACUACAGACUUACUGUUCUGACUGCUUGCACUUAGCGAGGGAGCCAGAAUUCAUAUGGUGCUGUGUGCCUCUUCAGACACAAAGGCAAGCGUGAAUUUAAACCAACUGAAGUGUGUGUUUGAUUUAGCACAAAACAUCUCUGAGGAGCCUGCAGCCACGGAACAGUCUGCCAGGGAUGAAAAUACACAUCCUUCAGCAGUCGGUCCAGUUGUAGGGGGUUAAGGUGGUUGUAGGUAGGACACUGGCAAGCCUGUCGUUGCUCUGUGCAAAGAGUUUGAUUUAGAUGGAGGGACUGGGAGUGUUCUCGUUUCUGUACUGGCGUGAAGUUCUUGCACACGUAUCGUAACCCUGUUUCUGUGUGUCUGAAAAUCCCAGUGUAACCCAGUAAAUAGGUAUGUACGUCCCCACUUCUUUCAACCAGGGCUGUAUUAGAGAAGCACGGUGUCCUUGGUGCUGGAGUCAGCCAGAAGCUUCUAGCUGCUGCAGAACACUGUGCUGUUUCUGCACGGUGAUACAGGCUAUUGGAAGCACUCAGUCUUACUUUUUCUACUUGGGAAGGAGUGAAGUUGAGGGUGGCGGUGAGUUCUCCACAUACCACAAGUACACACACACGUAUUUGUUCAGGCAAAUCCGCCAGAGUCUGAAGUGAGCAGUAAGUGGCUGUGUGUGCAGAGGAGCUGAGGGGGUGCCAGCUUUCUGUAGCUGCACCAGAAAGUGACAGAUAAAGAGCUGGCUCCUCUUCCUGUUUCCGUACUGGCUCAGCCUCAGGCAGCUCGUACAGCAGAGUGCACGUGAGGGGUUUACUUUAGCCUUUUACAGCAGAGCUUUCAGGAUUUGAUUGCUUGUGCAGAGGGUCUGUUGCAGAUAUAAUUAAACUGAAGCAGAAGUGCAUGACAACCUGUAUGCAGCCUAGCCAACCCUGUGUGUUUUCCAGGCAAAUCACGCUGUGAAUCACUGAAAACAUGUAAUCUUCUAUUGCAAACUGCUUGCUUACAAGAGUUCUUUUGUUCUGUAGGCUUUGUACUUUUCACUGUUAAUGAUUUUGUCUGUAUGAAAAUGUAAACUUGUGAUGUUUAAUAAAAUAUGUAAGUCAUUAGUUAUUUAGUGUCCAUUUUCAUCUUGUCACUUCAGUCUGGAGAUAAGCAGAAUGCUCACUGCAACUCUGACAGUUCUGAAUAACGUGGCUCUGCUUUGUCAGGUGGAACCCAUCACUUUGGGUUUCCUACUUUUAAAGGAAGUCGGGUUCAACAGUGAGUCUUUGCUUUUGUGAGAUCCAUGGAGCUUGGAGAAAGCUUUGGGGAAAGCUGCCUACUGAAAACCCAUACAUAUCAUUGGGUAGUUGGAACUAACUAGAAUGAAUUCAGUAUUUGGCUACUCACUGUAGGUGCUUGGAUUUCUCAUUAUUGUUGAAAUCAUCCAGAGAAAGGUCUCUGGCUGGCUGUUAAUUGUUUUCCUUUGGUCAGUUACUGGAGUACCUGGAAUUCAUGUCAUUGCAGUGGGGAGGUUUUACCCGCUCUGCAGGACAGACACCACUCAUUUCAUGCUUAAUAGAUCUGAAAGCUGAAUUAUAUAAUCUUAAGAGGAAAACUUGGUCUCUUCUCCAACCCUUUUUUGGGGCAGGGCAGGAGAGGAGGAAAGGAAAGCAGCCGUGGCAGAGAACACGAGCCGGGUCAUGGUGGCUGCUGUGUUCCCUCGUUUCAACAGGCUGAAUUUCUACCAGCUUCAAAUGCCAUGGAUGUCUCUGAGGUGUAAGAGCACCCAGAUUUUAAACUGAAGCACAGGUAUUUUUUUCUCUGAUUUUUAACAGAAUUGAUUUGAGCUGUCUGUAAUGGAGUAACAGUUGCCCAAGCUCUGAAAGUUCCUAUCCCAUUUGUAUGCUAAUGUCUCUUCAAGUCAGAUUUCUGUUCAGGCCUGGGCAUAAAACAAAGUACUGCAGUCACUCACUGAGCAAAAAUGACUUAGGAAUAUGUAUUUUCUCAGUUUAACCCUGAGCAAAAUAUUUUUGGCAUCGGCACAUUCAUUUACGUGGACUUGUGAGUGCUUUUAAAGUACAGCCUUUUAUAAUUGGGCUCCUGCAGGUUUGGUUAUUUAUGCAAAGCAGAGAGGCGCUUUGUUCUUUCAUAGCUUUGCAAUGGCAAUCUUUAGGAAAUGGGACAAUUGCAGGGAUUUUCUUGCUCCGUGGUAUGAUCUCAGCUCUGCGUGUUCUCCAAACUUCCUCACAUGGCUGUUACGUUAGUUUCUAUCUGUACUGUGCUUUGAAGCCAUGAUGUGUUGUUACUCUUAAGUAGACUGGUAGAGAAUUCUGUAUUUCAAUAUGGAUGUGGAUAGCUCACAAGCAUUCUGUUGUCGUUACCCCCUUACUCCAUUGGAUGCCACGAGCUGGGCUUUGCAUCUCGUCCCUGAAGAAGGACAGCAUCCCAGUGCCCGCCCUGGCCCGCUGCUGGUGUACUGAGUGCCGUGGUUCAGCUCUCCAGCUCCUACAGUUCUACUGCCAUUUGGAGGCUGGGACAACAGAAGUACUGCAGGCGUUUCUGAACACCAGCUCACCCCUACAGCUUCUUGGUUGACGGCAGAACUCCUUCAGGCAGUGUGGAAGUGCAGGCUUUUCUUACUCCUGGCAGCCGUUGUGGCUGUUGCUGCCUUGGCCUUCUGAAACAGAGAGAGGAAAGCAGAAAAGGGCUGAAUUGUGCAGGGAGCUUCCAGGUAAGCAGACACAUUCAGAACAUGCUUGUUACUUGUAUGCUGCUCGAGACUUUUAUAAAACACCAAUUUCUAUACUUUUUUUUGCCAGAGAAGGUUUCCAAGCUUUAUUAUUUUUUAAAGCUGUUUUAAUUCCUCUCCCCCACUUGGCUGAAGGUACCUGUGUUGGAUGAGCACAAAGCAGGAGCAGCAGUUCCCUGUGCUGCGGGGGUUGGAGCGUAGACCAGGGACCCUUUGGGUGCUCCGUACCCAUAUGUCCUCCAAUGGGAAGUGUGGGAGAGAUGAUGAGAUCUGGAGGCAGAGGCACUUUCUCCUCCAAACGCAGUGUCCUCUUCAACUGUAAAAUGUAGAUGUUUUUCACCUUUUGAAAUAUGGGAAGUCUUUAAGAAAGAAUGCAAUAGUUGGCCACCAGUGUCUCACAAGUUCCUACAGGUUGUUCAGAUGUAGCCUGGGGCAAAACAUAAGAUUUUUCUCAUUGCAUUUGAAUAAAGCUUUUUCUUUUUCCCUUAGAUCUCAAAUCAGCAGCAAACCCAUUCUUCAAUGAACAAACGUCCCUUGGUUUGGUGUGUGUUUGCAGGGCUGUGGUAGGUAUAGCUGUUACUCUUUAUGAACCUAAGUAAGUGGAGGGAAAGGAAGAAACUAAGCAAAACUCAGUGUACAAAACUAGAACAAGUGAACUAGUUUUUGCUUUCUAGUAAAGUUUCCUAGUUUUUGCUUUCUAGUAGUUUCAAAUACAGUCCUCUUCCCACCAGCACGGCCGGGAGUUCAGCAUUGAUGGCACAGUGCUCAUCUUCACCAUGCUUCCUUACAUCUUAACAGUGACAGUGCUGAGCACUUAGCACUGCAAAGUGGCAAGGUGAAGUGAAGCAUUUGGAAGUAUGUAUGAAAGAGGGAUGGGAGUUUCUGAGAAGAUAGGACGAGGUUUGUUGGUCCCGUUUGCUGCUUUUCAGGAGAUGACUCCUCCAGUGCACUGCCAUGUGAAUGAAAAGCUGCUCGUACACAAGCCUUAAAGCAAGAACUUGAGGAGCUGCACGCUGCCUUAGCUGUCUAGAAACACUGCUCAAACAACACGAUCUGGGCUGGGCCAUCAUUUAAAGCUCAAGCCAUGCUUAGAUGUCUGUCUUUGAUAUGAAUUGGAUGCCCCACAUCCUCUAGAGCAGCGGCUCCCAGCUGGUGUUGGGCAUUGUGUUAAAGGAAAGGCACAGAGCAGGAGUCCCACAGGCCUCAAGGAUGGAAGCGCAGUGCAGAAGCAACGCGCAGGCAGCUGGCCAGAGCAGCUUUUGUUCAACACAACAGCAGAGGCCCUACAGUGAGGGAUUCAAGGAGGAUCUUACAGUAGGUACGGUGUUGCCAAGUUAUUCUUGUUUAUCUGUUACAGUAGCUCAAGGCUGCUGCCUAGGUUGGUACCCACAUUCACACCAACUACACAGGUACUGCAUUUGAAGCUCACUGGUUGCUUAAAAUAUCCCAGCGUGUAAUUGUCCCGGUAUGACAAGAAAAUAGGUUUGUAUGGCUUGUUGUAAGGUCCUCAUCUCACUCACUGCCCCAUGAGUUAGCUUUUAUCAAGCAAGUGUAACCAUUGCUGAUAUGUGAGACUGCAUCAGCUCCUGUGAAGGCCCGUGUUAAUCUGAUUUUCAGGAGCCACGAUCACUUUGAUAUGGCUGCAGAAAGAAACAAAAGAGCCAGAAGCCUCACAAACUUUAAACAACUUAAUUUAUUAGAACCCAUAUAUGUUGCUUUCAUUAGAAGAAUCAAGUUAACACCUAAUUCAGGGUGAAAUUACAUUUUAAGACCAAAAAAAUUGCAGAGCUUAAAUAUGGUAUUUACUGAUGACUGCUGUUCUCAGAAUCCUGGCACAGGUUUGUUCUUGCUGUGUGGUGUUAUUAUGGUAUCUAAUUCAGAGCAGGUUCAGCAUUUAUUUUGAACUGGAAGUACAUCACGCCACGCAAAGGGCUGUUCCCCCAUCUGCCUCUCAGACGUUUGUAAUGAAGAACUCAAGCCUUAAACACCACCACAGAAACAAAACAAACCAGUGGAAUGCAUCACCAGAAUUUGAUCUUUUAUUUCUUGUGUACUUCAGACUCAUUAGCAGAAUAUGCCUGUAGCAAAAAUAACGUAGCAAAAAAAUGGUGCAACUUUUGACAUGUAAAAGGUCCACUGAAUGGGCAUCAAGCAAGACUGUUAUUUCAGAUUGGAACCUGAGUACAGAGAGAGUACAAUCACCCACGUCAAAGGUCCUGUAAUUUCUUUUCACACUAGCCCUUUUGGAGAAGCAGGUUAGGUUAAUAACCUCAUUUUCCACUACUGUGAAUCAACUGAAUCAUUUGGAUACAAUUCAGAAUGUGCUGAACGCAUAAUACAAAAAGUAUCUAACUUACAAACUGGUCUGAGACAGAAAAGCAGGAGGUGGAAGUGGCAGAUGUUUGGAGAGAUCUGUAUCAAAGUAUCACGUUGUAAAUUAACUUGAGUGACUGCAACACAGGAUGGAGUCUCUUGGAACAGUAAAACUCUGCAUACAAGGUAUUUAGGGAGGGUAGGGGGUGUUCCUUCCAUUCAGGUUCCUGCAGAGCUGAUGUAGACUUCUUCCCGUCCCCAUCCCCACACUGAAACUUGCUCUUCUUUAACACGUACACAAAGAUUCCCUGCAAGCUGUGUUGAAUUAUUUAUAUUACCUUUUAAGAUAAGCUAUUAGUUACACAACUUUUUCAGGAUGUAUCAGUUACUGAAGCCCUCCUGUCACUGAUCUCCAGCUCUAGCUGCGAGUUGUGGUCACUGUACAUGAGAAGCAAAAUGGUGCUUGCCUCUGAGGACUAUGCUGCUGUCAUAUCUUUCCUCACUUACAUAGAAGGAGGAGCAAUUUUUUAAACAUUCAGUUCUCAUUCUCAAAUAGCUUACCUGCAGAAUACAAAAUCCACAGCACUCAUGGAAAAAGCAGAGUAUUUUUGCUCAUACAGGUAUUACUGUAGAAAAGGAGUCCUCUGGCUGUACAUUGUUUCCACAGUGUAUUUGUUACAUGAGAUACAAACUGUACAAGUUCUCCAGUUUACAAAGUUUUCUAAUUUGCAGAAACAAUUCAGCCCCUAUUUAUAAUACCGGUUUUAAAUGUAAAGAUUCUUGCAGAUAAGGUACAGUCUAAUUGGCUCAAUGUAACAACAAAGUGUCACUUUAAUACAAUUUGCAAUAGUACAACUAUGUACAUAUGUACAGAACUGCUUCCUUCUGUUACUUCCCUAACUUGGAGUAUACUUAUUUUUAAUUAUCAGUUUGCUUUAAAGUGUGAAACACCGAAGUAAAAAUGGUUCAGUUUUGCAGCACUUCAAGUUCUUCAGUUGAGAUCUCAUCUACGUUUCCCAUUUAAUUCAGCCUUAAAGAACACCGUCACCGAAGCGUGGCUUGCUGUAAUCAACGAGGUCAUUCUGUAGGUCUCUUUCUUCAUCAUCUGCAAUUGAAAUAUUCAGACCAAUUCUCAUGUAAUGGCAAUGAAAAAAAAUGUAAGCACGGUUUCCCACGAGCGCAGUGCUUACACAUCCAUCCGCAGCAACACGGCUUCGUCUGGCUACGGGAAUGAAGUCCUCUGGGAAAAUGAGGCAGCACGAGGGCCUGCCAUGACAGGUCCAGCUGUCAGCACCUGGGGAUUUGUCCCCUCUGACAAACUGACUUCACACCACUCAGCAUCUCCAGCUUUAUUCCAACUGCAUUUCAGACAUCUGCUGACUUGAGAGAUUGCAGAACUACUGUAAAUUGAGAGUGUUCCUUUAUAGAUUUGAAACUCUCCCACUAAAACCCAGCUACAAAGUCUCUUUGACUUUGGAAGGUUACAUCAGCACAUCAGGGUUACAAGUUGGCAGAGUUGAAACACUGCAGGGUUUUGCCAAAGGUUGGGAACCAUGCAGCACUGGCACGCAGAAGUCCUUAUGACCCUCCUCCAGGUCUCUGAAUUAACUGCAGACGAAUAAGGUGAUACUCUGCCAACUUACAUCUUAGGUUUGAAAAAUGAUAUUCAGAAUUGCCUUUGCUAUCAGUAUAGUUACAGACCACUAUCCUGCAUCUUAGACUCGAGUGUAAAACUUGAAGGACUAUUAAAAGCACAAAAAGCAGUGCUCAACCUUUCCACACUUCUGAUCAAUGGAAAUCUCUAUUCUCUCUCAGCCUUGCUAGGAAUCAGCAACGCAUUCUUCACCUGUACUCUUCACAGCUGAAACACAACCAUCUGGUUGGGCUACUAAGUGAUAAAUAAAUAGCCUGCCCAUCAAAACAUCUACUCUUAAGCAUGCAGUUAUUCUGCAGCUCAGCCAGGAAGCACACUGCAGCACAGAGCAGCGGGGCAGUGCGUGCUGAGCAGCCUGCAGCUGAUGCAAAGUGCCCACUCUGGGAGCACCACAGCUCCGCUGCUGCAGGCGCUUCACCUCCGCACUGUGGCUGCUGCUUCAUCCCUGGCUGGGAGAGCGAGUGAAGGCGUUCCAUCCUGCACAUCCCAUGUGAUUGCCUCUCCAUACCACUCUCCUACUUCUUGACUUCUAUUCCUGUGACUUUGAGCCUCAUUAAAAACCAAUAAAAACAAACGCUCAAAACUUACUCAUCCUCACUAUACUCAUGUACUGUAGUGCACAAAGACAAAAUUAAAUCCAGGAAAAUAUAUUUUAAAACGUCUCUUGCAAGAACUACUGAGGCAUGUUAUUCUAGUUGCUAUAAUUGAGAUGGUUCCUGCAUGGUCCCACAAGAAAAGAGGUCCUGAAAGUCCAGUGUGUUUUAACUAACACGCUUUUGCUGCAUUCCAAAGCUCACGGUGUCCCCUUAUACUCAUGGGAGGGACACCAGUUCACAGGAACAGAAAGCAGAGUUCCAGUGAGUGCCGUCAGCCGUCCCUCCACAAGUCUACCAAGCCUAUUGCUUCAUGAUAACCUGUCUGAAGCUCUAAAACAUUCGCAAGUUUAUUUAUCAGCCUGCAAGUGAGGCAGGUACCCGCUGGCAGCCUACUGCCACCAGCAAAGGCUCGUUUAUCUACAUGACACAUGCUGCUGUUUGGUAGACACCACUACUAAGAAAGCAUGUGGGUAUCACUUGAUUCGUGUAAUCCGUCACCACCCAGCCACCACAAAGCAACAUUUACUGGCGUAGAAGCCAACAAUGUACGUUCCACUUUGCAUUUCAAACGGGGGAACUGAAAGAAGAAAUGCCAGCUUGGAUGCUGAUGUUCACAGGAGUGCAUCUCCCAAAUUUGUCUAUUUUCCUUAUCUUUCAAUAUAAGGCCCACACAGUUUUAGUGGUAACAGAAAAACACGUUUAACCAAACUGCUUGUUUACACAUACCAGAUGCUUUAUUCUAGCCUAAUGCAAAAGCAUGUGAUGUUUUCCUAAUAGUUUUGAGGCAGAAAUUCAGUGGGUUUUUCUUUUUUUAAACCUCUAAACAAUAACAACAGCUCUCCAAAAUCCCACAAUUCCACCUUCUCUGCCCCUGCAAGUAAAUUAAGUACAAAAAGUAAAGCAGACACUUCUAAAAUGCUGCUUCUGGCAGUACCACUCCACACAGAACAAGUCAACAAGUUAACAGGAGACAAGGCAACAAAUGGUUUGGAAAAUGAAGCCAGAGGCUGUAAUGUACUGCUUGGACUGUUCUGCAGGAAGAGCCUUCCCAAGGUCACCCUUCAAUCUUCACUACAUAGCACAAAAUCUCUUACAUCUGUGCAGAUGUAAAGAGAUAGGUCAGAAGAAGUCCAAAGCUAAAGCCACCACGGCACUGAACUGAGAGGUGUCACAUCAGCAUGUGAAAGUUUUGAAGCCACUUUCAAUUGCAGCUCUUGCAUAGUGAGCUACAUAACCACCACCUCUGGUUUCUAACAAUUCUGCAGCACUUAAUCCUGUGUCAUGCCCACCGUUGCAUAACCUGCAGGCAGCACGCCAUUCAAGGUACCUGCACUAGUUAAUAGCUUACAGGAUAUUGCUUCUUGCUACUUCAAGCUAAUAGUUUCCCUGCAGAGCCACCACAGCAGUGUUGGUGUUGGUAAGCAGGCAGUUCUGUGCUGGGGGCACAGCGCAGUGUGUGCAGGGACUGCAGUGCUGCUCUGCUGCCUCACUGUGCUGCAGGCGAAGGCUGCCUGCAGGCUGAGCCACAUGAGUAGCACAGGGCAGCACUGGGACUCACUUAUAUCAAGAAUCAUCCUUUGAAGUCCAGUUAAGGAAGUGACCCGGUGAGCAGCCAGGCAUCACCCACUGCAUAUGUGGGAGAACUGAACUAAACAACAGCCAGAACUAAACUCAGUCCACACUACUGCUUGGAUUUGCAGAGUGCAGAGCAGACAUGCACCAUACUGUGCUUUCCUUUGCUCUACAAAACCACGACCAUGAAAACCAGCUUCCUACUUCCACAGUGCAGUGCACAUCAGCAGAAGAGGCCAUACGGACUAUUUACAUUCGUUUAGAAGCUGGCUUUAGCAAGCUAUUCAGAGCAUCAUAAGAACAUACCCAAAGGAAUGGACAUUUGUAAUCCAGAGCAACUAAAGUCUCCUGCUGCAGCUUUGAAUGGAAGUGUAACAACUGGCCACAUCACCUGGAACAGCAGUGGUUUUCAUUUUCAUCAGUAAGCAAAUUAAUUGCCCAGGGUUCUGAUCCAUACUGUUGUGUUUGUUCACGUGUUUCAAACUACCAGCACAGCCACUAAACACACUGCAUACAGCAGUGCAUGCUAACGGAAAUCAGUUACUUUUCAUCAGCUUUUCCUUCUCCUGUUCCUGUGCUUGGAUAACAGUGAAAUGACGGACCACCUACCAGUUAAAAAACGCGCAUUACAAGGAUCAAAAUCAGGGUGCGCACAGAACGUGGGGAGUUACAGCACUCCCACCCUCUGCACUCCCCCUUUAUUUUGCAGAAUUGGAAAUACUAGAAAUGUUUAAGCAGACAUUUCCAACCUCUAGACAUGCAAGCCCUUCCCAAGACAUUACCAAACAACUACAUGGAGAACAGCAGACAACGUGGCAGAUGCACGGCAGACAACAACGGAGAGGUGACGCACUGAGACGCAUGCACAAGGGGUGGGGAACAUGCAGGGAUGGGUGUUAGGCUGGCACCAGGUGAGUUCUGCAGUUUGGUUAACAAGGAGAACCAGAAGUCUGUUGAAUCUGUGUACAACGCACAAAAAGUUACACUUAGAAUUGAUAUCUUGGAUUUCUUUGUGUACCGCCUCGGGGCGGGUGUGACUAAAUUAGCAGGAGUCAAAAACUACUACUGCAGUUCUAAGCAGAGAAGCGUAACGCCAAGGACUGCAUCCCCAACCAGCUAUGCACCACGGCUGCGUUUAGAAAACCAUUUCUAGAAUUUGAAACAUCUUGAUUUUCCUAGCAGAAACUGUGCACAAUUGAAAUAAGCAAUGGGAAUACUCUGGGAACUGCUGUAACAUCGCUUUCAAAUGGAAAGCAAGCCUGAAUUUUAAAGAUUGCCUAGAGCUUAUUUAUUCCAUAUUAUAAAUUGCAGAUCAGCCAAAAGUAAUGAGGCUUUACACAAAUUCAACAAGAAAACUCAGUGUGGAUUUUAUCACAAUGGGAUGGAGAUAAGGCCCAAGCUCACCUUGGACGUCUUCUUCUCCACCAUCACCAUCCUCUUCCUCAUUGUAAGCCAGCUCAGCCUGUUUGUCUGCCUCGUACUCACCCACGUUACCAUCAUCCCCAUUAUAAUCUGCCAGUUUAGAACCCUGCUGCGGAUCAACAGGGGAUUCAUUCUCAUCAAAGAAUCGGCCUGCGAAGUAGGCAAAGGAUUAAGUCAGAAGCAGAGAGGAAAGAAACAGGAAGAUUCUAAAUGAAAGCAGCCUGCAGGUUAGGAUAUUCAGGUGUCUGUAGCAGUUUUGACUGGAGGAAAAAGGGAGUAGAAGGGAGAGUGCGUGGGCAGGAGGGACAACAGUGCUGCUUAGGAACACCUCCGUGGAGAAAGGAUGUCCUUGACUGCCCUGAACUGGGGUUUGAGAGAUCUGCCUGCUGUGGGCUUCACUUUGUAGAGAAGAGCAGGGGAAGCACCCAAACCAAAAGCUGCAUCGUUGGUUGUCUACAAGCACAACACUGCAAGUGUGCUCUGGUUUUAUAAAAUGCUGAGGAGCACAGAGUGAAAGUUUUUGUACGCAUCUUCCUGAACCAAAACAAUGGAGCAAAACAUUGCUGACUUUGUACAUGGAAAUGUAAACCAUAGUGUCAAGGGUACCAACCUCACCAAGAUCUGCCUCGCACUCUACACUGAUUUUUGUCAAACCAUCCAAUUAAUCUGGGUACAUUCAGGUUUUCUGCUGAGCUUUACGUUCUCAAAACGUUCCAACUGCAGUAUUUUUAUCUCACAGCAAAGAAUUAAGAACUGCUCCACACAAACCACUGUUCCAACAACAAACUAGAAAAAUAAUUAGCUGCAACUAUGAAACAACCACAAAUGAGCACAGAGUGAAAGAUUCAUGGUGUAAUGGGAGUUCAGAGCUGGUGUGUAGUGGGGUACGAAGGAGAAACAGGCAAGUCCACAGAAUUCAGUCUGCUUGGCCAUGGCUUAAAGAAAGCAACAGUAACCAAGGGCACGGGUCUGGAGACUGUGUAUAAAGGGAAAACGGGAUCAAACAGCAACUCAGUCAUUACAGGCUGGAAACAAACCAAGGAAAAAGUCUGCCAAGGCAGAUGUUACGCGAUUCACGUUGGAAACAAUUAAACACAGAAGUAAAACUGAAGAUACGAUUCCAACCUUAGGAUUAAAAAAGUGGUUGGGUCGCAAUGGACAGAUGUGAAAAUGAACUUUUCUCUUAAAACAGUGAAAACUGGUACGUGGCAGUAUACAAAACUCAGAGCAGAAACAAUAACAGUGCUUGAAAAACAGAAGGAUGACAGCUAGUGCCCCUCACACGUACAGAAACUGGUGCCUCAGUCACGGCCAUAAAACAAGAAACUAUGAUCUGUUAGUACGUCAGAGGUCUGAUAGGUUGCUCAUUUUCUAUUCAUCUCUGUAAUUCAGUAAUCCUUGCAAAUGUUGUUUUUAUUUUUGGACUCUGCCUUAUACAAACAGAACUGUACAAUGUACGCAUGUUAAAUAUAAAAUUGGGCACGAGAAAAACUGAAUGUACUUAACUUACAGAAAAAAAAACAGGGCUGUGGAUGUGCAGAAAUGCUACAAGUGUAAGCUGACAGAAGGAAAGGUUAAAACAUCAGGAAGGCCCCAGGGAACCCAGCACCCCACCGACUGCGUGUGCAGAGCCAGGUGUGAGGGAUGGAGGCAGCUGAUGACUCCCUGCCCAACACCAGGAGGGCAUCAGCUCUGACACAAGGCACUCACACACGCUCCUGGGGCACCGAGAGCAGCAGAACGGGAGCCUGCAAGGCACCAGCUGCCUUUUGAACCACACACGGGCAGCAGCACCACCUGGAAUCUGUCCCAGGAGCACAUGUUGGUGUCGUGGGCUGCUACUCAGCUCACUGCAGUCGUGAGCUGGUGUCUGUAACACAGGCAUUACAGAGGCUGUUUGAGAGAGCAGAAUGAUGUCACAAAGCAGGAGAGGCAAGGGACAGCAAUGGAGGGUCCCGUAAGGAUGUGAUGGAUGCUAAAAGCCGUAGGGAAUUUUUGACAAAAGGAACUCAGGUAAUAGUUGGGUAUUGCUAACCUGGACCCUUACGCAGCCCUCGGAGCAGCUGUCUGAUGGUCACACUAAGGCCCAUUACAGGACAGCUGCACACAGCAGCACACACUGCAGCUCUGCUGCACUCCACUUCUAGUGCAGGUUUCUAGAUGUGACAGAAAGAAAUCCUCUCCCUUGCUGCAUCAUUAUGGUACAGGGUAUCGCAUGGAAGGGAGAGGGAAGAUGAAGUGCAAAGGCUGAUCAGUGCUUAGUGACUCUCAGGUACCCACAGCCUUCAGUGGGGCCGCUUCCAUCACUGCUCCUGCCCCCCAUGCCGUUAAUC